rnacentral:lncRNA from 1 species
AGAUGACUACAUAGACUCAUUAGCAAAUGUAACAAAUAUUAUGAAAUUGUUUCAUAAAUAUAUUAAAGAUUCUAAGGUCUUAAAACUAAACUAUGAUACUACUAGUGUAGAUUUAACACAUCCAUCAGAUUUUAUCAUACAAUAUAAUGAUAGUAUAUGUUAUAUGGAUGAACAAGUCAUGCAGGAUGUAAUACCAGCUGAAUUAGAAAUAAAAGAAAAUGCAGAAAAAGAUACAGAAGAAGGUACAGCAGAAAAAAAACAACAAGACCAAACAGAACAAGAUCAAGCAGUACAGACCCGUUAUGCACUUGAAAAAUUUGUAUUAUCAGAGCAUAAGAAAUUAGAAGAAAUUUUAUUAAAUUUAAAAGCACCUUAUAUGGUUGAUCAUAUUAAUGUUGUUGAUGAUGAUUCACCAAACCACGCAUAUAAUUUCAAAAAUAUCAAAUCAAAAAGUGGUGAUUUUUUGGAUUUCGAUGUUGGUACUGAUACUGAUUCCGAUAUUGAUGUUAGUGUUAGCGAAUUAGAUUUAAGUCCAGAGGCUGAACAUUCGAGAUUUGUCUUAAAUAAAUUAAAAACAAAUGCACAUUACCUCCAUUAUAAUUUAAACAAUAUCGUACAUAAUAUUAUGUAUGAAUGUAGUGAAGAAUGGGAUGCCAUUAUGAAUAAAUUAUUAAGUCAUUUCUUUGAUGAUGAUGCGGUAGUUUUAGAAAAUAAUAAUGAAAAAGAAGAAAAAAGCUUUUUACGAUCUCAAGCAAAAGAUACUAAUGAAAUAGUAAAUACAGCAAUGGGAAUAACUGAAGAAAAUAGACAAAAUUAUGACGAUUUUGUUUUCAAACUUUUAAAUAACUGGAUAUUUAUGAAAAGAGAAGCAUUCAUACGAAUUAUGAUCGAAAACUAUUUAACUUGGCAAAAAAUAAAACAAAAGCAAUAUGUUAUAUACACUUGGAAUAGAAAUUCAAAAUCACAAAUGCCUUCAUAUGUACGUCAGCUGUCAAUAGAAAAGUUAAUAGAACUAGUCACAACUGAAAAAUGGGGUGCAGAGGGUACUAGCACUUAUAAUGAACUACAGACAGUAAUGAACUGGUUUAAACAUGAACAAACUGCUUAUCUAAACUACAUAUAUGAUUUAUGGAAAUUGUGGGAAAAACAAAGAUAUAU